rnacentral:sRNA from 1 species
UGGCUGUUUCGGCGCCGCGGACGGUUCCAC